ensembl:lncRNA
GGGACUUGGUGAGGAGAGCAAAUUUAAAGGCCCCCAGAGGAGACUAAGCUUGAUGAUAAGAUGAAGGCCACGCCAGCAUCACCACACAAGGAGAGAGGUGGAAAGAGACAAGAAGAGGUGGUUGUAUUAGUUUCCUAUGGCUGCUAUGGUGGCUCAAAACAAGAGAAAUUCAUUGUCUCAUAAACCAGGAGGCCAGAAGUUGAAAUUAAGGUGUCUGCAGAGUUGUUCUCUUCAAGAGGUUCUAAGGAAAAAUCUGUCCCAUGUGUUUCUCUCAGCUACUGGUGGUGGCUGGUGGGCCUUGAUGUUCCUGGACUUAGACCCGCGACCUUCUAAUCUCAGUCUCCACCUUCAUCCCUAUGUCUCCUCUCUGCCUUGGAGUCUCUUUUCUUCUUGGGAGGACAUCAGUCAUAUCAGAUUCAGAGUCAUGCUUAUCCAGUAUGACCUCAUCCUUAUAUAACUGAUUACAUCUGCAGAGACCCUGUUUCCAAACUAGCUCACUUUCUUAGGCUCCAAGGGACAUCAUUCAACCGAGCACAGAGGGCCACCGAUUGUCAGAUCAUACAGGGGCUGGUGACUCUUUGCAUGGAACUUGGGUUUUUGUGUUGUUCUGUUUUUCUAAAUGCAACCUUAAAUCUCCAGAAGAUUUUUAGCAGAGGAGAGAAGUAAUCUAAUAUAUACAUUGGAUCAUUCUGACCAGUAUAUAAAGAAAGAGUUCUCAGUAGAAGAGAAAAGACAUACGAAAAGCCAGUGCACUGACUCCUGCAGUCAUUAAGGAGAGAGAUGAUAGAGGCUUGAAGCGAGCGUGUUGGCAUUUACAGCCGAGGGGUGUGGACCUUGGGGGAAGGAUCUGAAGGAUAGGUGGUAUAAGACCUCAUCCUGGUCUCAACAUCAUAGCUGUGUGUCUCCACAUCAUAGCUGUGUGUCUCCACAAAGGAUGAAGAGGGAGUUGCCUUUGAAGAUCAAGUUCAGGCACUAUGCUGGAUUCACAAACCAGAUCUGCUAACUUGGAUAUAUAUUUUCCCCCUUAUCUUCAACUUCCCACUUGGUUUUCUGUGAAUAUUUGUAUAUUCUGGUCAUUUCAUUCACAGGUGGAUGAAAAAAUUUGCCCCAGGGAAGCAGAAGGGCAUGAAAAGGAAAGGCCUUCCCAGCAAAGUGAAGCAAAAGGCAACACAGCCCAAUUCUGUUCUUAUUUAUUAAUCAGAAAAAAAAAUAAAACUUUAAAUAUCUGAAAAAUAUUAUUUUCCCUAUCCCUGGGGAAAACAUUGCACACAGGCAAAUAUAGAUUUUGCAUACAGCUUCAAGGAAUUUCUAGAAUGCCUGAGUUCACUUAUGAAUAUCAAUUUCAAGAUUUCCGACUUUAACACUCAAAAAAAAAAAAGGAAAAGGAGGGGAGAGGGGAGUAGAGAAGGGAGAAGUGAAUGAGAGGAGAAGAUUAAAGCCAUCAUAAGAAACUGAGUGGAAAUACAUGUUUUUUUUCAUAUACCAACCUACUGAAAAGUUCAGAUUUUUCAAUACCUUCCCAGACUCAGCACUCAACACCUAAAUGCCAUGAAUUGUUCUUCCCCCACUUAGUGAAAUGUCAUCAACAAUGCCUUUCCUUUUUCCAUGUAGCAUAUCCACUGAAGCAAGACAGAGAAAAGAGAAUGGUAAAAAGAAAUCUCAUUGCAUUUAAGAUUGUGCACUUGAUAAAACUGUUUUCUUAGCCAGACAAAGUGUGAAAUUCUCUUCAUGGUUUUUAGUUUAAGUAAUUUGAUCGGAUGAGCAUUCAGCUUGUCGCCCAGAGCUGCUCCAUUACGCUGAGUGCUUCCCCCAAACUGCUUCCUCUUAUCCAGCUCCUUCUCCACUGAUGGAACAAGAUUAACAGGAUUAGGUGUCUUUCAUUUGUUCCUUUUUAUCAGGCAAGACUCUAUUACUC